rnacentral:snoRNA from 1 species
UUUGCCUCUCGAAUAACCGGAUUUGGAUCAUAAGACCAUGUUCGGUUCAGACAGGGGCGUAUAAUAAUGUAAGGGGAUAACUAUGUUUUUUUACUGUACUUUUUAUCCUUCCCGAAUCCCUUUUGAGGGAAAGGAACGAUUUUU